GGGGAUUUAGCUCAGUGGUAGAGCGCUUGCCUAGGAAGCGCAAGACCUGGGUUCCAUCCCCAGCUCUG
rnacentral:tRNA from 1 species